GGGACAUGCCGCUGCCGGCACCCCGCUCGCUGGCCCGGCGAGGAGAGGCCGGUCUGGGGUGCGGGCAGGGCGGCGGGCAAACUCCUGGCCCGUAAGCCGAUCAGCAUCCCCGGGAGCAGAUUGGGGCUCGGGCUUAGCGCGCUGACAUCAGGGCGCAUCUGACAAUGCGAUUUGCUCGGGCGGCGCGGCACUCAGCGGGGCUGCUGGCGGCGGUGCGGAGAGGGGCUGCCGGCACGGAGCGGGGGGCACUCCGCGUGUGGGAGCUGCAGCGGGCGCGGGGCCCGCGAGCGGGGCAACUGCGGCUUCUUAGAGAUGUGCCAAGCACGUAUUUCUAACGGAAGGCACCUAGGCAUUAGACUGGGAGGAGUGACGCGUGCACAAACUGAGUUUCUGCAUUGCCGUAGUUGUUCUGUAACUCUUUUUCACAUGCUAUGGAUUGGCACAUGGGUCCAGGGAGGGAAGACCUACCAGUCAACCCAGUGGGAUACUCCGUUUCUUCACUCAGCGCUUGUGAGGCCACACCUAGAGUACUGUGCACGACUUUGGGCCCCUCACAACAAGAAAUACACUGAGGCUUCGGAGUGUGUCCAGAGAAGGGCAAUGAAGCUGGUCUGGAGCACAAGGAAUGGCUGAGAGAGAUGGGAUUGUUUAGUCUGGAGGAGGGUCAGGGGAGACCUCAUCACUCACUACAGCUCUCUGAAGGGAGGCUAUGGCCAGGUGGGGGUCAGCCUUUUCUUCCAUUCAUUCCAGAAUGACAGGGAAUGGCUUUAAGUUGCAGCAGUUCAGGUUGGAUAUGAGGAAAAAUUUCUUCUCCGGCUGUGGUGAGAUGUUGGAACAGGGUGCCCACGGAGGUGGUGGAGUCACUGUUCCUGGAGGUUUUCAAGAUGUAGAUGUCACACUGAGAGAUGUGGGUUAGUGGGCAUGGUGGUAGUGGAUUGACAGUUGGACUGCAUGGUCUUACUGGUCUUUUCCGGCCUUCUAUGAUCCUGUGAUUGUUUCAACAGCACUUUGAGGUGAACCUCACGUACGUGAGAGGCUUCAGCAGUUAGUUGUCUGGGGUCCACGUCUGCAGUGAAGGAAACGAGCAUUCUGCAGUGAGUUGAGGCAGAGUGUGAGACGAUUUUUGAAUUAAAAGAAAGCGUCGAUUUUAGAGUCACACAGAAGCAUGAGUAACAGGGUCUGGGUAGUGGAUGCUCACAGCUUUGCAAGAGUACCCCAUACAAAACCAGACCUCAGCGUUGCCACCAUGCCAGGGGGCUUUUGCCAAUGCCAAGCUGCAGGGCGGGAGUGCGGCGUCUAGCAGACGGAUAUCUGUAAUCAGAAUUAGCAACAGAUAGUGCCCUGAUUGGCUGCCUCUGCAAAGAGGCUAACCCGGGAAGAAAUGGGAUUAAACUGCUCCCUCACCUCCACGCAUCCCGGGGAUCACUGCUUCAUGUUUGAAGUAGUGCUCGCACUGAUGCUGCCCAUCUCCAGACAAGUUUUCAUGUAAAGAAAGGCUCCCUGGCACCGUCGCUCCUAUCUCUCUGCUUCCAAAUCGCAUGCUUUGGACUUGGUGUAAAUUACAGCAUGACAGCACUGUUAAGUUUCAGGGCUCCAUUCAGAGAACUUUCUGUUUCCCGCUCAGCUGGUGUGGCCAUCUGUCCAGCCAGCACAACUCUAUCUCUUAGAGCACCACUUGUACUUUGGAAGAACUUCAGCUUUCCUUAAAAUCCUGAUGCUGACAGGGAGCAUUUGCACUGCUGUCAGGCAGAACUUACCGUAGGAGCUCAGUGCCCAGAAAGGCUCCUGCCUGUGGUAACUCUGAGCAGCAGAAAAAGUAGAAGAGUGAAUUCUAACAGAACAGGAACAAAUAUUUUCUUUAAGGUGUCAGAUUAAUACAGAGCAUGCACUAUGCUUCACUUUUCAUUUUUCACUUUUACAACUGCUGCUGAGGCUGUUGGUUAGCCUCUGUGCAACGCGACAAUGAGCAACAAGACACCACAGAAGGGUGCAGCAUAUUGCAUGCAGACCCUUCCUUGGCCACCCAAGACGAUGCUGCGGAUCUUGGUCCUGCCAGCACGAUGCUGAUCUGCUUGAGCACAGCCAUAUAGGAUGCCUGUGUACCCUUUUUGAAGUUCUGGGGGUGUUUCCCUCUUCCUCAGAUGAGCUCUUUGCAAAAAUCCUGCAAACAAGAGAAGAUGAGGCUGGUGAGAUACUCAAGGUAAUGUAAUGGAGGGAUAUAAGCGUCAUAAUCCAAAGCUCCACUGCAGGAAGCCACGUACUUAAGUCUUUUUGGACAAUUUCCUCAGAACUGUGAAAAACUACUGUUUCAGCAUGCUCCUGGUAAGGCACUGCACUUCUUAUGUGCUGUUUUGAUAUUUUUGGAGGUGGUGUAUAGAAGGCUGAUGGUGAAGGAGCAAGCGAAGUGAAAGGGGAAGCGAGAUGGAUGGAGUUCCCCAUAGCUGCUCUUUUCAAAUUUACUGUAGGCUGUGUUAAUGAUGAAGGUCCUUGAGGCUUCCAAGAAUUCCCCAGUGUGAAACUUCUGUGUUUGCAUUUCUCUUGAUUUCUGUCUGAGGGAAUUCCUUGGGAAAAAACUGAUGAAAAUUUCUUUUCAGUGUUCAUAUGUUGUUUCUUUAAGAGACUGAGGAAAACAGAAGUUUGCAUAAAAUCCCUGGCUGGGGCUCUGCCUCGUCUGAAGAGUGGGUUCAAAAAAUCCCCACUGCAUUUGUUUUUUAUUUUUUCAGUUUGCAUAUUCUUUCUUAAAAUACUACACACGUGCACACGGUGUGUACAUUCUUUGUUUGAAAUGCCAGUUUCUGUCUUUUUUGUUGGAUGAAGGCUAAGGAACAUAGAGAGUGGGAGAGCAAAACAUUUCUCCAAUUGUAAGUUUAAUUUUCUUUUCCUGGGUUUUACUAUAUUUUGAAUCAUAGAAUCACCAAGGUUGGAAAAGACCCACAGGAUCACCCAGUCCAACCAUCCACCCAUCACCAAUGGUUCUCACUAAACCAUGUCCCUCAACACAACGUCUAAACGUUCCUUGAACACAUCCAGGGUCGGUGACUCCACCACCUCCCUGGGCAGCCCAUUCCAGUGCCUAACAUAAUACAUAAUACAUAAUACAUAAUGUUAUUUUGAUAACGUAAUACUUCACUAGAAGUGAAUAAGUUACAAAAAUGACUAGGGAAAUAUCCCCUAGAUAUAUUCACUUUCUAAAUUAUAAAUACUGAAUCAUCUGAUUUUUUCAACUGUAUUAGCAUGCAUGAGAAGGUAUUUGCAAACUGUUGUUUUGCUUCUAGUGUAGCAGAGGGCUCCCCACUUACCUGUGAAAAGAUGUCACUCAGAUUUUCCACAUAUCUGUGGGUGCUUUCAGCCUUUCUAGCCCUAAGUUUUGGCUCUGGGAUGUUCAGGAUAUGGCUUUACAGUUUGGAAGAGGUUCAGGUGGUAUUUAACUUCAAGCCAUGGGUACCAAGUGCUAGCCAAUUACCACAGACAUGUGCCAGUCUCCCCCUGCUGUAGUCCUGCGUCAGUAAACUGUAAGCAAUUUUGCCUAAUACAAACUGGGAGUCGGUCCCUGCUAUCUAAUGCAAUCCACUAGCGGAAAAGCACUGUCAGAAAAACAGAAACAGAAAUAUUUUUUCCAAGUAAAGAAAUUAAAGACAAAGUCUGAAAGUUUCGCUGCCAAAUGUAUUCGUUUCGAGUGUGUUUGUCUCAUUGAACACUCCUGUGAGAAUUUGGAGCACUUUAGAAUAGAGCUUGCACCAUGGCAUGCUUCAGCACAGAGCCUGAGUUCCUGUUGUAAAGGUGAAUAUCGUUCUCAUUUUAUAGGCGCUGAAAUUGAAUUAGAGAGUAUUUAGAUGCAGCAGAGCAAUGCAUAAUGUGACUCUAAGCAUACAAAUGUCUUAUUUUGGAACUACUCAAAUGCUUUAAACAAGUCAUGGUUUAAAUGGCUUGUCCAAAACCAUACAGCCAGGAAGAUGAGGGAGAGGGUCCGGCUCCUUACUGAGAUCUUUAAAGAAAGUAUCCUAAAUAUAAAUAGCGCAUCUCCAUCGAGGCUACAGGUGCUCAUAUUGAAGCUGUUUCUCUUUUUGGAAUGUAAUGAAUGCUGGCCAGCAAAUAUUGUAAAAGGCACUUUGUGACAUCGAAGUCAACACAGUAAUUAUAUUCAAUAUCCUGUGUUUUUGUCAGGCUUUCUUCUAGACAACUGAAUAUAAACUAGAGCACUGAUAAGCAAAGUAUUCUCCAGGAAGGAUACAAGACUACUUUAUUGCUUCACAUAACUUUUUUUUCAGUUUGCACUUACAUGGUAUCAAAGUAAUAUCACAUUGAAAACGUGACUGUGUGUGCAAGGAGUCAUGCUUCAGAGGAGGAGUUCUUUUCUCUUUCCUGUCUCUUCCAGAGAUAACUGGUCUUUCUGGCAUUAACUGGUGGUUUCACCGGAGCACACAGCAUUGUGAUUAACCAGGGGCUUCAACUGAAAGGCAUGCAUGCAUUUUUGCAAUUUAAUGAUAAAGAUAUGUGUGCUUUGAAAACAUAUUAGAAACUUGUAGAAUGACUGUGGGGCUAUUAUUAUUUUCAUAUUGUGCCCUGCUAGCUUUCAUCGCCUCUAACAGGAUCAUACUGUUUCUCAUCUUUGCAGAAAUGUGAUGUUCUUGAAGGAGAUUUCUUUUUCCUGGAAACAUUUAAGUUGUCAUGUUGCCAGGUUAAAAUAAAGAGACUCUUGUCUCAUCCAAAAGUUUCCUUCCUUCUUGGUGCUUUUGUAAUGCAGUUUCCACAAAUUGCAAACAUCAUGGGACUUGUCCCAAGAGAUGCUCAAGGAAAAACUGAAUGUUAUACAUGUAGCAUACCCCCUUACAAACCAUACCUCCCAUUUGAUCAUCAUUUAUGCAGUUCAAAAUGUCUUACUCUGUUGUACCUCCUUCCUCAGCACCUUUUGGCAAGAAAAUACCCUUCCUUUUAUUUUCUAUGGAAGAAAUCAUAGACUCAUAGAAUGGCCUGGGUUGAAAAGGACCACAAAGAUCAUGUAGUUUCACCCCCCCUGCUAUAUGCAGGGUCUCCAACCACCAGAUCAGGCUGCCCAGAGCCACAUCCAGCCUGGCCUUGAAUGCCUCCAGGGAUGGGGCAUCCACAGCCUCCUUGGGUAACCUGUUCCACUGCGUCACCACCCUCUGAGUGAAAAACUUCCUCCUAAUAUCCAACCUAAACCUCUUUGUGGUGCAUGGUUCGAUUGAUUGUUGUCUUGUACAGCUGUCUUCUGUAUGGGUAUAGUCUAUGAAAAUGAGGAGCUGUCACUGUUAGAAAUAUAUUAUGGAUCUUUUUUGCCCUCUGUACUGAGCUAGUUGGAAAGUAAUACCACACUGAGAGUACAAUAUCUUCUUUCUGUGUUGUUCUCGUAAAAUACAUUCUCUUUACAGAUCCAAAAAAGUGUGCUUCUGAUUCAGUAAAGGAUGUAUAAGAAUCGCAUGGUUUUAUUUUCUCUUGAUGCAUUCUGUGAAUUUAGUGUGACUUCCUUUUUAUUGCUUCUUGAAUAUCCAGCAACAAGAAAGUCUUCAGCUUUCUCUGUAAGAAGGCAGCAUUGAGGGAUGAAAUUUUCACAGUCAAACUACUUCACAAACA
rnacentral:lncRNA from 1 species